CCUCCUUUCUAAGGAGCAUAGAACUUCGGUUCUAAGGUCAAUCGUCGGUUGUCUACAAAGACUAAUACUUUACUCAGCUGUGAAAAAGUCAAAUUGGCUUUUUGAAAAUUGUAUAGCAAGCGCAAUUGCAAAGUAUUUAUUAUAGUUCAAGCUACUAAGGGCUAUUGGUGGAUGCCUUGGCGCUGGAAGCCGAUGAAGGACGUGGAAGACUGCGAAAAGCUACGGGAAGUUGUCAAACAAGCUUUGAUCCGUAGAUUUCCGA
rnacentral:misc_RNA from 1 species